UCAAGUGGACUCAGAGUCUCACGGACUCAAGGAUGAGUGCCUCUGGGGACGUAGAAGUUUAUAGAGAGUGAAAGGACUUACACAGAUACAGAGCUGAGCAGAGUCUUAUUGAAAGACCGGGGGAGCCAAAGGGAAAGAUAAACUAUGAAGACAGAGACGCCAAGACUCUUGCCAGGUCUUCUGAUCCCAGUUCAAUGCCCUGUGGGACUGAGACAUUUGCCCCAGCGAAACACCAUCGG